rnacentral:rRNA from 1 species
AGUGAACGCUGGCGGUAGGCCUAACACAUGCAAGUCGAACGGCAGCACAGUAGGAGCUUGCUCUUACGGGUGGCGAGUGGCGGACGGGUGAGGAAUACAUCGGAAUCUACUUUUUCGUGGGGGAUAACGUAGGGAAACUUACGCUAAUACCGCAUACGACCUACGGGUGAAAGCAGGGGAUCUUCGGACCUUGCGCGAUUGAAUGAGCCGAUGUCGGAUUAGCUAGUUGGCGGGGUAAAGGCCCACCAAGGCGACGAUCCGUAGCUGGUCUGAGAGGAUGAUCAGCCACACUGGAACUGAGACACGGUCCAGACUCCUACAGGAGGCAGCAGUGGGGAAUAUUGGACAAUGGGCGCAAGCCUGAUCCAGCCAUACCGCGUGGGUGAAGAAGGCCUUCGGGUUGUAAAGCCCUUUUGUUGGGAAAGAAAAGCAGCAGGUUAAUACCCCGCUGUUCUGACGGUACCCAAAGAAUAAGCACCGGCUAACUUCGUG